GAUGAACGCUGGCGGCGUGCCUAAUACAUGCAAGUAGAACGCUGAAGGAGGAGCUUGCUCUUCUGGAUGAGUUGCGAACGGGUGAGUAACGCGUAGGUAACCUGCCAGGUAGCGGGGGAUAACUAUUGGAAACGAUAGCUAAUACCGCAUGACAACAGUUAUUGCAUGAUAACUGUUUAAAAGGGGCAACUGCUCCACUACCAGAUGGACCUGCGUUGUAUUAGCUAGUUGGUGAGGUAACGGCUCACCAAGGCGACGAUACAUAGCCGACCUGAGAGGGUGAUCGGCCACACUGGGACUGAGACACGGCCCAGACUCCUACGGGAGGCAGCAGUAGGGAAUCUUCGGCAAUGGACGGAAGUCUGACCGAGCAACGCCGCGUGAGUGAAGAAGGUUUUCGGAUCGUAAAGCUCUGUUGUAAGAGAAGAACGAGUGUGAGAGUGGAAAGUUCACACUGUGACGGUAUCUUACCAGAAAGGGACGGCUAACUACGUG
rnacentral:rRNA from 1 species